GUCCACACCGUAACGUUGGGCGCUAGGUGUGGGACUCAUUCCACGAGUUCCGUGCCGCAGCUAACGCAUUAAGCGCCCGCCUGGAGAGUACGGCCGCAAGGCUAAACUCAAAGGAAUUGACGGGGCCCGCACAAGCGGCGGAGCAUGCGGAUUAAUUCGAUGCAACGCGAAGAACCUUACCUGGGUUUGACAUAUGGGGAAAACUCUCAGAGAUGGGAGUCCGCAAGGGCCCCAUACAGGUGGUGCAUGGCUGUCGU
rnacentral:rRNA from 1 species